GGGCCUGUAGCUCAGAGGAA
rnacentral:tRNA from 1 species